CCUACGGGCGGCUGCAGUGGGGAAUAUUGCACAAUGGGCGCAAGCCUGAUGCAGCCAUGCCGCGUGUGUGAAGAAGGCCUUCGGGUUGUAAAGCACUUUCAGCGGGGAGGAAGGCGGUGAGGUUAAUAACCUCAUCGAUUGACGUUACCCGCAGAAGAAGCACCGGCUAACUCCGUGCCAGCAGCCGCGGUAAUACGGAGGGUGCAAGCGUUAAUCGGAAUUACUGGGCGUAAAGCGCACGCAGGCGGUCUGUCAAGUCGGAUGUGAAAUCCCCGGGCUCAACCUGGGAACUGCAUUCGAAACUGGCAGGCUAGAGUCUUGUAGAGGGGGGUAGAAUUCCAGGUGUAGCGGUGAAAUGCGUAGAGAUCUGGAGGAAUACCGGUGGCGAAGGCGGCCCCCUGGACAAAGACUGACGCUCAGGUGCGAAAGCGCGGGGAGCAAACAGGAUUAGAUACCCUUGUAGUC
rnacentral:rRNA from 1 species